UGAAUUUUCCCACGCUGUGUAAAAUGACUCAUAACACUCUGGUGUAUUAAGUAACCAAUCAGAGUGCUCUGAGUCAUUUUACACAGCGUGGGAAAA